rnacentral:rRNA from 1 species
CUUAUGGAUACCUGGGUAUAAAAAAACGAGUUGGGCGCAGUUUAUUGCGAAAAGGUAGUUUAUAAAAACUAAAUAUUUACUACGUUCCCAAGAGAAAAAAUUCUUUAAAAAUAACUUCUUUCGAGGAUUAGUGUUAUCUUUGUUAGUUAAAGUUAGUUUUUGUAUUUUUGGUGAACUGAAACAUCUAAGUAACUAAAAAAAAAAAUCAAACGAGAAACCGUUAGUAGUGGCGAGCGAAUACGGUAAUUAAACGAAAUGUUAGCAUAUAUCUUUUAUUAUUAUUUUAUUAAAAAAGUAUAGGAAUUCUUUGCCAAAGAGGGUGUUAGCCCCGUGAUAUUUGAUAAUUUAAGUUUUUUGUUUUCUUUAAGAUUGUUUUAGGCAUUUCUUUGGGAGUACCAUUCUUCCAUGUUUAAAAAUUUUUUAUAACCGAUAGUGUACAAGUACUGUGAAGGAAAGGUGAAAAGAACCCUGUGAAGGGGAGUGAAAUAGAUCUUGAAUUAGGGCAUUUUCAAUGUAUUAAUGAUAAACUUUGUGUUUUCUUAGUGUACCUUUUGCAUCAUGGGUCAGCGAGUUUAUUACUGAAGCGUGUUUAAGUCGAAAGAUUUUUGUAAGCGUAGCGAAAGCGAGUUUAAGCUAUUUAGGUUUAAGCGAAAAAAAAAUUUAGAAUUUGCUUUUGUAAUAAGAUCCGAAAUCGAGUGAGCUAGCUUUGGGCAGAUUGAAAUUGUAAUAACUUACAGUGGAGGAUCGAACUUGUGUAUGUGGCAAAAUACUAGGAUGACCUGAAGUUAGGGGCGAAAGACCAAUCAAACUCGAAAAUAGCUUGUUGUGCGCGAAAUAUAUUUGAGUAUAGCCUUUAAAAUAAUUUGUUAGGGUCAAAGAGGUAGAGCACUGUUAGCAUUGCUGAAAAACUACGAAUGCUUUGUUCCCAAUUUGAAGAGUCAGACAAUGGGUGCUAAGGUCCUUUGUCAAGAGGGAAACAGCCCAGAUCAAAAAUUAAGGUCCUAAAAAAUUCACUGAGUGAUUAAGAAUGUAAUAGCUCGAAGACAACUAGAAAGUAAGCUUGGAAGCAGCUAUCUUUUAAAGAAAGCGUAAAAGCUCACUGGUGAAUGAGUUUUUAUUGUGUUAAAAAUUUAUAGGGGCUAAAGUGAUUUACCGAAGUUUUGGGUAGUAUACUUUGUUUGCUACGGUAGCGUACUGUUUUGUAUUUCGUUGAAGAUUUUUGUGUAAAUAAGAUUGAAGAAAUCAAAAUCAAAAAUACUGACAUGAGUAACGUUUAGAAAGGAUUUAAACCUUUCCGCUGGAUAUCCAAAGUUUUUUGCGAAAAAAUUAAUUGCGCAAAGUAAGCCGGCCCCUAAGAUUGUUAAAUAGUGGAAGCUGUUAUCGAUGGGUUAAUUUUUCAUAUUGGAAUGCAAAAUAAAUGUGACAAAAUUGAUUUUUUUUCUAAUGAUUGAAAUUAUAAAUGUAAUUGAAAUUUUCUAGAAAAAACAAAAGUGGUGACCGUACUUAAACCGACACAGGUGGAUUAGUAUAAAUGUACUCAAGCGUUUGAAUAAACUAUGGUUAAGGAACUCGGCAAAAUUAUCUCGUAACUUUGGGAGAAGAGAGUAAAUAAAUUAAAUUUUUUUUUUUAUUUUGACAUGACAUCAGGAAUAGCGACUGUUUAACAAAAACACAGGUCUCUGCCAAGUGAAAACAUGAAGUAAAGGGGCUGACAUCUGCCCGGUGCUGGAUAGUGAAUAGGAAAGGUGAAAGCUUUGAAUAGAAUCCCCAGUAAACGGCAGUUGUAAUUCUAACGAUUCUAAGGUAGCGAAAUUCCUUGCCUCCUGAUUAGAGGCCUGCAUGAAUGAUGUAACGACUGUUCCGCUGUCUCAAUUAUAGUUUCUGUGAAAUUCAAUUUCGAGUGAAGAUGCUCGAUAUUUGCAAGCAGACGGAAAGACCCUAUACACCUUAACUGCAUGUAUGCAUUGUUUGAAAAAUUUGUUUAUGUAGUCUAGGUGGUAACUAAUGACAUCUUUGUGCUAGCUUAUUGUGUCAGUGUCCUUGAAAAACCGCUUUUUCAAAUUUUUUAGUCUCACUAGUAAAUUACUAGGAAAGUGUAUGUUGGGCAGUUUUCUUGGGAAGGGAUUCUUCAAAAAAGUAACGAAGAAGUACAUAAGGUAAAUUUAAGUCCGUCGGUAAUGGGCUUGGAAAUGUAAUGGUUAAAUUUACUUGACUGUGAGACUGAUAAGUCGAGCAGAGAUAAACGUCGGUCAUAGUGAUCCGGUGUUUUCCUGUAUGGAAGGAGCACCGCCAACAGAUAAAAUGGUACGUUAGGGAUAACAGGCUUAUAUUAUUCUAGAGUUCAUAUUGACGAUAAAUCUUGGCACCUCAAUGUUGACUCUGCUUUUCCAGGAGGUGAAGGUUCUUCCAAGGGUCGGACUGUUCGUCCGUUAAAAAGCAACGUGAGUUGAGUUCAGAACGCUGCAAAGCAGUUCGGUUCCUAUCUUUUGCAAACUUGAAAAAAUGAAAAAUUCAACUUAUCGUACGAGAGGAGCUAAGUUGGUUAACCUAUGGUGUACCAGUUGUUUUAUCAAAAGCAGGCUGGGUAGCUACGUUGAGAAAAUGUAACCGCUGAAAGCAUAAAUGCGGGAAAAUUGUUUUAAGAUUGUUUUUUAUUCUCGUAGUAGAUGACUACGUUGAUAGGCAAAAAGUGUAAGUAAAGUGAUUUAUAGGCUUUUUUGUACUAAUUUGAUUUGUUUGGUUUUGGGCAGUUAU